rnacentral:rRNA from 1 species
UACGUAGGUGGCGAGCGUUGUCCGGAUUUACUGGGCGUAAAGAGCGCGCAGGCGGCUGGUCAAGUCCGAUGUGAAAGCUCCCGGCUUAACUGGGAAAUUGCAUCGGAAACUGAUCGGCUGGAAGGUGGGAGAGGGUAGCGGAAUUCCCGGUGUAGUGGUGAAAUGCGUAGAUAUCGGGAGGAACACCGGUGGCGAAGGCGGCGACCUGGGUAGAUACUGACGCUGAGGUGCGAAAGCGUGGGGAGCAAACAGG